AUACCUGCGCAAGGUGUUUUCUCGCUUUCAUUAAUUAUACGUAUAUAUAAGGGUCAUUGGGUUUUAAACCCCGUUACAUUUUGCACUUUCCCCCGGAGAUGCUUAAUAAUGAUAAUGACACCGUAUAAUAGGAAUACACACAAACACAAAACAAAAACUAAAAACAGACAAACAGCAAACCAAUACAGUGACGUCCCCCAGUUUACAUCAAGCAGUACAGACACUGUGGACGACCCUGUUUUCCAGGGUCCCAGAGGUAGUAAGUACACAGGGUCUGUGUACGGGAAGGUAAAGUCAUUAUGCACAAUUACUGGAGAGGUACACGCAUUUUGCAAGAAUCGCUCAGCAGUGCUAAGAAGUGGAUGUCAAGCCAAGGGCACCCGUCAGUGCUUGCAGCAUUAACUGAUCUAAUGUCACCUUCUCCGGAUGGAAGGUCUCAGGCGCCGAGUCGGAUUUGCUCACAGUGAGUGUAAAACGCAGUUACCCCCUCGUCCAAUUCAGUCAGACCUGCCAUCUAAACCAACACUGCACGGAUCAGCUUCUAUGUUCUUUUAUAGGAGGGAAACAACAUGCUUCGCAGGUUAUAAAGUAUCUGUUUUAGAGAUUGUGGUGAAUUGUCACAAACACUGCGAACUGUAAGCCAAGAUGUAGAAACUGAAAAACACUCUCCAGGUCAGCUAGUCUGGAGUUAAAUUUCCCUUAAAAGAUAUCGACGAAGCACAAUCUUUUAAGUAAGUCCGCAUGUGAUAUUAGUGAUGUCUAUGUAUC